AAAUAAUGUAAAACUAACAACUCCCGAAAAUAAAAGAUCUAGAAAUAUACUAUCAUUUUGAGUUAUUACAAAAUACUGUAGCAUUAGAUAUCUAAAAAUAUAUUUCUAGGGGUGAAAGACCUCCACUUUUAUUGAUAUCUGGACGAAUAUUAAAUAAAUUUAGUUUAAUGUAUAGUUAUAAUGUUAUAAGAUAUUGUAAGCGGAAAUUGUUAUGUAUACACUUAAGUCAUUAACUACUACUUAACGACAUUAACUUUGUUGAUAAUAUAUCUACAUUUAAAAUUCCAUAGUAAUAUUUUAUUUUAAUAAAGUUACAUUAAAGUAAAUAAUGUAUAAAUUAGUAGAUAUAGUAAAUUUAAAUGAAGGAAUUCGGCAAAUAUUUUAUACGACUGUUUAUCAAAAACAUAGCCAGUAGACUCGAAAUUACUGGUGCGACCUGCCCAGUGAAAUUUUAACGGCCGCAGUACCCUGACUGUGCAAAGGUAGCAUAAUCAUUUGGCUUUUAAUUGAAGUCUCGCAUGAAAGGAAAAACGUAUAAAGACUGUCUCCAGAAAUAAACCUAUUAAAAUUGCUCUAUAAGGUGAAAAUACCUUAAAUAAUAAAAAUAGACGAGAAGACCCUUAGAAUUUUAAUAAAACCAAAACCAUAUAUGGGGUAAUUUUUGUUGGGGCAACAUUUUUUCAUAAAAUAAAAAAAUACCCAUUAAAUAUAUAACGAUUGAGUAUAAUAAAGUAAAAAUUACCUAAGGGAUAACAGCAUAAUUUUAAGUGAAGAUUGUGACCUCGAUGUUGGACUAGGAACUAUUAAGGCUAAUCGUUUUGAUAUAAUAGGUUCUGUUCGAACUUUGCUUCCUA
rnacentral:rRNA from 1 species